UACGUAGGGACCAAGCGUUGUUCGGAUUUACUGGGCGUAAAGGGCGCGUAGGCGGCGUGACAAGUCACUUGUGAAAUCUCCGGGCUUAACCCGGAACUGCCAAGUGAUACUGUCGUGCUAGAGUGCGGAAGGGGCAAUCGGAAUUCUCGGUGUAGCGGUGAAAUGCGUAGAUAUCGAGAGGAACACCUGAGGUGAAGACGGGUUGCUGGGCCGACACUGACGCUGAGGAGCGAAAGCGUGGGGAGCGAACAGG
rnacentral:rRNA from 1 species